rnacentral:rRNA from 1 species
UACGGAGGGUGCAAACGUUGCUCGGAAUUAUUGGGCGUAAAGCGCACGUAGGCGGCGGCAUAAGCGGAAUGUGAAAGCCCAGGGCUCAACCCUGGAAGUGCAUCCCGAACUGUGUCGCUUGAAUCUCGGAGGGGGACAGAGAAUUCCCGGUGUAGAGGUGAAAUUCGUAGAUAUCGGGAGGAAUACCAGUGGCGAAGGCGCUGUCCUGGACGAAGAUUGACGCUGAGGUGCGAAAGCGCGGGGAGCAAACAGG